UGGGGAAUUUUGGACAAUGGCGAAAGCCUGAUCCAGCAAUGCCGCGUGUGUGAAGAAGGCCUUCGGGUUGUAAAGCACUUUUGUCCGGAAAGAAAUCCUUGGCUCUAAUACAGUCGGGGGAUACGGUACCGGAAGAAUAAGCACCGGCUAACUACGUGCCAGCAGCCGCGGUAAUACGUAGGGUGCAAGCGUUAAUCGGAAUUACUGGGCGUAAGCUGCGCAGGCGGUUUGCUAAGACCGAUGUGAAAUCCCCGGGCUCAACCUUGGGAACUGCAUUUGGGUGACUGGCAGGGCUAGAGUAUGGCAGAGGGGGGUUAGAAUUCCACGUGUAGCAGUGAAAUGCGUAGAGAUGUUGGAGGAAUACCGAUGGCGAAGGCAGCCCCC
rnacentral:rRNA from 1 species